rnacentral:rRNA from 1 species
GAUGAACGCUGGCGGCGUGCCUAAUACAUGCAAGUCGAACGAAGUACUUCGGUACUUAGUGGCGAACGGGUGAGUAAGACGUAAGCAACCUGCCUAUGGGACUGGGAUAACGUUUGGAAACGAACGCUAAUACCGGAUAGGUGAAGGAAGGGCAUCCCUCCUUCAUUAAAGUUUAGAUACACCGAUAGAUGGGCUUACGGCGCAUUAGCUAGUUGGUGAGGUAACGGCUCACCAAGGCGACGAUGCGUAGCCGGACUGAGAGGUUGAACGGCCACAUUGGGACUGAGACACGGCCCAAACUCCUACGGGAGGCAGCAGUAGGGAAUUUUCGGCAAUGGGGGGAACCCUGACCGAGCAACGCCGCGUGAGUGAUGAAGGUCUUUGGAUUGUAAAAACUCUGUUGUAUGGGAAGAAUAGUUAUGUUAGGAAAUGGGUUAUAGAGGACGGUACCUUUCGAGGAAGCCACGGCUAACUACGUG